rnacentral:tRNA from 1 species
AUUCAGAUGGUCUAGUGGUUAGGACUUGGUGCUUUCACCCCUGCCACCCAGGUUCAAUUCCUGGUCUGGGAA